rnacentral:rRNA from 1 species
AUUGAACGCUGGCGGCAGGCUUAACACAUGCAAGUCGGGCGGUAACAGAGAGAAGCUUGCUUCUCUGCUGACGAGCGGCGGACGGGUGAGUAAUGCCUAGGAAUCUGCCUAGUAGUGGGGGAUAACUUGCCGAAAGGUAAGCUAAUACCGCAAACGUCCUACGGGAGAAAGGAGGGGACCUUCGGGCCUUCCGCUAUUAGAUGAGCCUAGGUCGGAUUAGUUAGUUGGUGAGGUAAUGGCUCACCAAGACCGCGAUCCGUAACUGGUCUGAGAGGAUGAUCAGUCACACUGGAACUGAGACACGGUCCAGACUCCUACGGGAGGCAGCAGUGGGGAAUAUUGGACAAUGGGGGGAACCCUGAUCCAGCCAUGCCGCGUGUGUGAAGAAGGUCUUAGGAUUGUAAAGCACUUUAAGUUGGGAGGAAGAGCAGUUAACUAAUAUUUGACUGUUUUGACGUUACCGACAGAAUAAGCACCGGCUAACUUCGUGCCAGCCGCCGCCGUAA